rnacentral:sRNA from 1 species
UCUUCGGUUUGCCCGGCUUGUGUAUGCCGAU